rnacentral:rRNA from 1 species
GUCUGCGGCCAUGCCACCCUGAACAAGCCAUAUCUUGUCUGAUCUGGAAGCUAAGCAGGGUCGGACCUGGUUAGUACUUGGAUGGGAGACCACCUAGGAAGACCAGGUGCUGUAGGCG